GUAGAAAACAUGUUACAAAGACACAAUUACCAUGAUCCUCAUACCUGCUGCUACAAUAUCCUGUCAACAAAUUCCUACAAGGCCAUGAUUAUGCCACUAAGUGAUGACAGCAGCCUGCAAAACCAGUCCACCAUAAGUCUAUGAGGUUGUUGUGUAAAGAUCCAUUUGAUUAAGAUAACAAAUGCUCAAGGAUUUUCUAACCUGCAAUGAGGCCUUUAAACCAAGUCACAACAGUUAGACAUACCUCAAGGCCUGCAACAAGUCAAUUGAAAGCCACCAAAACAUUGGGUUUGUAGGACUAGAUAUCAUGUUGCAAUGAGCCUAACACAAGAAAAAAAAACAGGCUUAUAUACUUACCACCUGAUGAACUGAACAAAGGGAUCCAACAGGGCAAUGCAAGGCCAAUUCAAG
rnacentral:lncRNA from 1 species